rnacentral:rRNA from 1 species
GACGAACGCUGGCGGCGUGCUUAACACAUGCAAGUCGAACGGAAAGGCCCUGCUUUUGUGGGGUGCUCGAGUGGCGAACGGGUGAGUAACACGUGAGUAACCUGCCCUUGACUUUGGGAUAACUUCAGGAAACUGGGGCUAAUACCGGAUAGGAGCUCCUGCUGCAUGGUGGGGGUUGGAAAGUUUCGGCGGUUGGGGAUGGACUCGCGGCUUAUCAGCUUGUUGGUGGGGUAGUGGCUUACCAAGGCUUUGACGGGUAGCCGGCCUGAGAGCGUGACCGGCCACAUUGGGACUGAGGUACGGCCCAGACUGCUACGGGAGGCAGCAGUCGGGAGUAUUGCACAGUGGGCGGAAGCCUGAUGCAGCAGCGCCGCGUGCGGGAUGACGGCCUUCGGGUUGUGAACCGCUUUCGCCUGUGACGAAGCGUGAGUGACGGUAAUGGAUAAAGAAGCACCGGCUAACUACGUG